rnacentral:rRNA from 1 species
UACGGAGGGAGCUAGCGUUUGUUCGGAAUUACUGGGCGUAAAGCGCGUGUAGGCGGCUUUGCAAGUCGGGUGUGAAAGCCCUCAGCUCAACUGAGGAAGUGCGCCCGAAACUGCAGAGCUUGAGUGCCGGAGAGGGUGGCGGAAUUCCCCAAAGUAGAGGUGAAAAUUCGGUAGAUAUGGGGGAGGAACACCGGGUGGGCGAA